GGCAGUUGAGGAGCUCUUCAGAGCGAGAGCGCUGCUGGGGAGGCAGAAGCUCGGUGAGAGGAGUUGGUGGAGCCGGUAGCGGAGGAGGGUUCGAGCAGGAUGCAGGGGGCUGCAGACUAAAGGAGGCUUUCCCUUCUCCCGUCCACCGUUCUAUGGCAAAGGUUUGGUCCUGGCUCUCUGCGGGAAAAUCCUGGGGAAGAGAGGAAGAAUUGCAACGCUUUUAGGUGAAACUCCGGUUUUUUGGUGCCUUUGGAACGGACGAAGGGAGCCGAGGCGCCUUGCGUCAGCUCAGCUGUGAACGUUCUGGAGAGGGGAAAAGUUUCCCGUGGGAUCUGCUGAGGGCGUGGGAUGUGCCCAACUUGAUUGUCCUCUUCUAGGUCCCUCGCCCUGGGCUGUUCGUCCCUGUGCGCUGGGGUACACAGAGCCUGGCCACGUGGCACAGGGCAAGAGCAGUUGUAGCUCUCAUGAGCUCCAACACCCGGUCCUACCCCGUGACCUUUAGGUACCUGGCAGCCUGCUGUGAGAUUUGUAAGCCCGUGUCCAGUGCUCUGCAGGAGGUGGGGUUAAACAGGUGGGGUAGGAUGCUGUGCAUUAACACUGCAGCUGAAGCCUUCCAUCACUUGUUACAGCUGUGUUAUUCUGCGCUGCUCCUGAAAAGAGAGCUAAGGAAGAAGCAUGCAGAAAAUUCUAGAAUGGCCAGCUAAACAUACAGCAGGGCAGCCGUGACAAAAACAAAUUCUUUCCAGUCCUUCUUUCCAGAGGCAGAAUGGCUCUCAUAAGCUGAGAGCACCCCAGCACCAAACUCAGUGUCCCACAGUACCUGCGUCUCCUGAUGGUGCAUGGAGCCGUGUGGCUGGCUGUUAGCUCUCUGUAAUGUACAGGAAUUUGUCUCAGCCCUCUCCCCUAUGGAGCAAAGGUGUUUAGCUCUUCAGAAAAUAAAAUAAGAUUGCUGGGUCAUGUAAAAGGGGGAACCCAGCUCUGUAUUCCGAAAGCCUCGGAGAAAAGACAUGCCUCGCUGCUUCUAAAUUAGAUCACAAAUUUUCUGGCUGAUGGCAGCAUCUCAGGGUUCAC